rnacentral:rRNA from 1 species
GGUUAAGUCCCGCAACGAGCGCAACCCUCGCCUCUAGUUGCCAGCAUCGGUUGGGCACUCUAGAGGGACUGCCGGCGACAAGUCGAGGAAGUGGGGAUGACGUCAAAUCAUCAUGCCCCUUAUGACCUGGGCUACACACGUGCUACAAUGGGCGGUACAAAGGGCUGCGAACCCGCGAGGGGGGAGCGAAUCCCAAAAAGCCGCUCUCAGUUCGGAUUGCAGGCUGCAACUCGCCUGCAUGAAGCCGGAAUCGCUAGUAAUCGCGGAUCAGCAUGCCGCGGUCGAAUACGUUCCCGGGCCUU